AGUUAUUGAUUUUGUUGAGCAAAGCUGCAUACCAGAAAUUGAACUUGACAGAAAGUCCACUACCGUUCAGGUUAGGCCUCACUGGCGUGAGUAAAAAUUUACAAACGCAACAUCUCCUUUGAACAAACUAAAAAUCAUUCAUUUUCCUAACUUGUUAUACAAUUUUUAUAUUAUAAAUUCAACCAGGACACUGAAAAACCUGAGACCAAGAACAAUGUCAGCAUUGUAACAGAGAAUUUAGGCACCAAUGAUGCAAGUGAAAUCAUAGCAAAGGAAGAAACAGAUGCUGAAAAAUUGGCUGAUGUAAAGAUCGUAAAGUCAGAAAUCAAAGGUAACUUAGUUUUGAAAUUUUAUAAUUGAUUAACUCAAAAAUAAGAGCCAGAAGGCAAACUCCAAUAGUAUAUUUGUACAACGAAAAUAAAAAUCAACACAACUUUGCAUGCACAAAAUAUUAUUUAAUUUGCAUUAAUAUUUAAAAACAAGUGUCCUCAGAUGACACUACCAGUUUUGCUCACUACUAUAUGCGGAUGAUAACAUGUAUAUAGUAAUUCUUUGGCCAAAUAUGGGAGCUUUUCGAGGAACUGGGACUGUAUUAGUUGUCUAGAGAACAUAAACAUGACUUACACAUUCUUAGAAUGUGAAUUAAGCUAAACUCAAGCCUACAAAAUGAACUGGUAAAAUGAACUUUGCACUUAUUUAUAUAGUUAGUAUAAUGAGCAUAUGCCAAGGACUAGACAUCUUGACUUAGAAUUAGAUAUUUGUGAGUGGUCUAAUAGCAUGUGAUACAAUAGGUUAAACAACUCUUGCUAAGAUAGGUUGUGAUACUAUAUUAGGAAUUAGAUUUUAAGUUUAACUCAACCUUACAAUAGAAGUUAAUAAAGUCAGGUUUGCAUCCUUUUUAUGAUAUAAUUUGAUCAUGUAACUAGUAGAUGUAGGAUCUCCAAUGUUCAGUAACAUAUGCAAUCUUUGUGCAAAUGAUUACUCUCAAUAACUCAGUUUCAUAACUUUCAGGUGUGCCAAAAGAUGAAACUCUGAAACCAAUAGCCAAUGAAGUUUUGCUUAGAACUAAAGCAGUUGAGAAGAGCAGUCAACAAGACAAACAGCAAGAAGAAGAGGUCUCAGACAAAUCUAUCAAAGAGGUGCAAAGCCAAGAAUAUAUUACUGAGGGAAGUGUAGAAAUAAACAUCAAUAAUGAGGCUGAGGAAAAGGACAAAAAUUCAACAUCUAAUGCAGAAGAAAAAGAAGGGACAUCUCAUGCAGAAGAAAAAGAAGGGAUUGAGGAUAUAUUCAACCAAAAGGAAAUGGAAAAAGAAAUUGAAGAAGCAACAAAAAUACACUCAGUGGAGGAGGAAGAAAUCCAGAGAUCACCCCCUCCUGCCUUUGUGCAAAGUGAUACUAAUCAAAUUCUGCACCAAGAAACAUUGCAUAUUAAUGAAUCAGAAGUGAUUCAUAAUGCCAAGCUGAGCUCCAUCCCAGAAAUUGAACUUCAUGAAAAGGCCAUUGUUGUUCAGGUUAGGCAUUAGUGAAGUAAACAAAUAAAAAAAUAAAUAUAUAUUUGCUUGCUGUGACAAACAAAAAUCAUUUACUAUUGCAACCACUUAUGCAAAUUUUAUACUUAUACUUGUACAUAUUCACCAGAAAAGUGAAAAAGUAGAAACCAAGGACAAUUUUGACAGAGUAAGAGAGAAUUUAAACAAGGAUAAAAGGGAAAACAGAGCAGAGGAAGGAAUAGAUGUCAAACAAUUGACUGAUUUGGAGAUGCCAAAGUCAGAAACCAAAGGUAAUCGUGUUCAAAAAUUUUGUAGAUGCCAAAGUGUAUAUUUAACCAACGAAAAUAAAAAUAAACACAUGACUUUACCUGAAACAAAUUAUUUAAUCCGCAUAAGAAUAAAAAAAAUUAGCAUCAUGAGAUGACACAAACAGUUUUACUCAACUAUAUGAGGAUGAUAAAUAAGCAUAUGAAACUUUCGGGCCAACAUGGGAGUCUUUUUUGGCCCUGGGACAAAAUUACUGUAUUAAAACAGUAAUAUAUGCAGCCAAUGUUUAAAUGAAUCCUUUGAAUAUUUAUUGUUCUAUAGCAGGUGUGCUUGAAGAUGACUCUCUCCAACCAAUGCCUGACACAGUAUCUGUUGAAAAGGAGGCGGUUAGUGUAAGUCAAGAAAAGAGACAGCCACAAGAAGAAUUUAUUAAGAAAGUUAACAAAGAGGUGCAGACACCACAGUAUUUUACUGAGGAUAGGGAAAAAAUAGAGACCACAAAUGACACUGAGGAACAAGAAGAGGUUCCAACAUCUCAGCCUAAAGAGAAAUCAGGAAACAAGGAUGAUGACAAAUUUGAACAAGAAGAAGAAGAAAAAAAAAACGGGAUCGAAGAAUCAACAAAACCACAGUUACAAGACAAAGACAUCAGCACAACAUUGUCCAUCCAAACCUCAGUCCAAGGUGAUUUUGAUCAAAUUUGGCAUAAACAAAUACUGCAUGAUGAUGAAUCAAAAGGGAUUGGUAAUGCCAAGAGGAGUUCCAUGCAAGAAAUUGAACUCGAUGGAAAAUCUACUAUUGUUGAGGUUAGGCAGUAGUGAAGUAACAACUCAAACUUUACGUAUUUAUCAGCUUGCUUUGACAAAUCUAUUCUUAUAUCCUCUGCAUUAAACCAGGAACCUGAAACCAAAGCCAAUGUCAACAUAGUAAAACAAGAACAUCCAAACAACCAAUCCAAAACAUCAAGCAUUCAAGGAGACAUUAUGCAUAAUAUAACAGAAGAAGGACUCGUCACAUCAGAAAGCAACAGAGAAAUAAGUGAAGUGCACACUGAGGAACAGAAGACAGUAAAAUCAUGCUUAAGAGAGAACUUAGACAACAAAAAUGCAUGUGAAAUCAUAGUAGCAAAAGCAUCAGAGGCAAAACAAUCAACUUACAUGGAAAUACAAGAGUCAGAAACCCAAGGUAAUUAUUACUUUGAAAAUAUUUUGAAUUGAAAGAAGCUCAAAAACCUAAACAAAAGAAAAACACUGCAUAUAUUGAUGUCAGGAAAAGAAAAUAAACCCAAGACUUCAGAUGAAAUAAAAACUCUGCAACCAACAUAAAAAUUAAAGUGUCUUUGGAUGAGAAAAACUUUAUUCACUUACUAUAAGGGGAUGAAAACAUAUGCAUAAUUUUGUGGCCUACUAAAGCAACUUGUGGUGGCUAUGGGAGAAUUUUAAUUUUCAAGAAAAAAAAAAUAGAUGUACUAAAUUAGUGAGAUAUUCAAUUGUACGGAAAUGAUUGCAUUAAAUAUCUCAUUCUUUGUAACAAUAGGUGAGCCUGAAGAUAAAGACUUGAAAACAAGGCUCAAUCCAUCAUCAAAUGGCAAUGAAGGACUUGAUGAGAGUAGUCCAGAAAAAUUUACAGAGAACUUGAACAAAGAUGUGCAGACACCACAGUGCAAUACAAAGGUGAAUGCAGAAACAAACAUUACAUCUUAUCCUGACAAAUUAGAAGAAGCAGAGGAUAUUGAAGAAUCAAUAGAAAAACAGUUACCAGAGAAAGAAAUCCAACACACAUUUCCCACUCCAACAUCUGUCCAAGAAGAUAUUGAUCAAAUGUCACAGCAACAAACACUGCAUGAUGAUGAAAUAGAAGUGAUUAAUAAUGCCAAGAGCUGUAUGACAGAAAUUGAACUUCAUAGAAAGUCUAUAGUUGUUAAGGUUAGGCGGUAUUGAAGUAAAGAAGUAAAAAAUUACAUACAUAUUAGCUUGCUAUGAACAAAAGAUAUAAUUUAUUUUCUUAACAUGUUAUAGAAGUAUACUUAUUGUAAAUAUUGUAUAGGAAUCUAAACAACCGGAAACCAAGGCAAAUGCUGACUUAGUGAAAGAAGGACAGGCAGACCAUCAAUCAGAAGAAUCAAGUGUGCAAAGUUUCAUUACAAACUAUAUAAUAGUUGAAAGACAUACGACAUCAGAAAGCAAUAAAGAAUUAAGUGAUGAUGUUGACCUUGAUGGACAGAAGAAAGUAGAAUCACAAUUGGAGGAGUUUUUAGAGAUUAAGGAUGUCAGUGAAAUCAGAGCAAAAGGAAUACACUCCAAACAACCGACUGAUGUGGAGAUACAAAAAUCAGAAACUGAAGGUGAUUGUAUUCUGAAAUUUUCGCAUUGAAUAUGGCCUGAUAAUGAAAAACGCACUUGUUUUAGAUGACAAACACUUUUUUUCACUUCUAUAUGUGAGUUUAAGUAGUAAUUUUGCCAUGCUAUGAAGAAGAUUCUUAAAGUUGUUUUAAAGGAACAUACACAAUCUUAAUGGAAAUUGAAGCAUAAAGUGCUUAUUACCCUUCCAAGUAUCUUAGUUAUUGUGUUUUGUUGAGUUCAUGUAUACCAUUGAUAGGUUCAGUGGGAAAGUCUAUACUAGAAGAAAUAAAUAAAGGAGGUAGUUAUAAAGUCCUGUAGCCAUAACAGGUUGUAACAAACUAGUAUAUACAGUCUGUGUUUAGGUUGUUUUAGGAGUUUUUGGAGUUUUGGAGGAAGAGGGGUUUUGAAGAGCUAAGGUCCUCUCGAAAGACCUUUGUAACUAGGAGGCAUUGUUAUAAUCCUGUCACAUUCACAAAACUGUUUUGUUCUGAAUAACGUCUUUCAAGAACCUGUCUUGAAGGUUUUAUGUAAUGUGAACUUUAAGCCUAACUCAACCCUACAAAAUCAACUUGUAAUGUGAGGUUUGCACCCACUUCUAUAUUCUAAAUUGAUCUUAUAUAGUUGAUGUGGGACUUCCAACACACACACCCCUCACAUUGAGGUAUAUACAUCUCGUGCAUGGGACUAGACAUUAUUGGGUGGUCUGAUAGCGACUCGAUAUUGAGUAGUACAAUAUGUCCAACAAACAAAAAAUUUCGCUAUGAUAGGCUUUGAUACCAUGUUAAGAAAUAAACUUUAAACCUAACGCAACCGUAUAAAACCGACUUGUAAGGUGUGGUUUGCACACACUUAUAUAUUCUAAAUUGGUCUUAUCUUUAGUCAAUGUGGGACUUCCAACAUUGUUAGAAUAAGCCGGUUUUGUAAGAUUGGCCUAGGUUUAAAAUCCACUUCUAAACGUGGUAUCAAAACCAUUGUACAAGUCUAUCCUAGUGAGAUUUGUUGCUUAUUGUGCAUAUUGUUCCACCCGUAUCAAACAGCUAUCGCAUCAUCCUUUAAUGUCAAGUCUCACGCUCGAAAUGUAUAUACCUAUUGGAAGUCUCAUACCGACUAGAGAUAAAACUAAUUUAGAAUAUAUAUAUAUAUAUAUAUAUAUAUAUAUAUAAGUGGGUGCAAAUAUCACAUUACAAGUCGUUUCUGUGGGGUUAAGUAAAGCUUAAAGUUCACUUCCUAACAAAUAGGUUCAGUGAAAAAGUCUAUACUAGAAGAAAUAAAAUAAAGGAGUUAUUUAUAACCUCUUGUAACUGUUACAGGUUGUAACAUACUAGUCUAUAUGGUCUGUGUUUAGGUUGUUGUUAGGAGUUUUUGGAGUUAUGGAGGAAAACGGGUUUUGGUCGAGCUAAGGUUCUCUCGAAAGACCUUUGUACCUAGCAAACAUUGCUGUAAUCCAGUCACAUUGACAACUGUUCUGUUUUCUAAAUAAAGUCUUUCAAGAACCUGUCUUGAAGGUUUUCUUUAAUUCUGGUGAUCCUGUCAACCAUGAAAUGUAAUGUUAUAGUUGUUCUCUUCAAAAUAGUUGCUUAUUUAUUACCUUUAUGAUCAUUAUUGUUAAGAUAGAUGAAUAUGUUGAGUGGUAAAUGUUGUAAACAGGGGAUUAUUACGAUAAAAAUAUCCUAAUAUCUUUAGUAACUAAGAAAAUAUUCCCAAAAUCUAUACAUCCAUUCCAGAUUACUUUAUUUCCCUUUUUAAAAGAAUGUGAUUGCUAUAAAUAGAGGAGUUGAGUAUGCAAUUAUCAUUAUUGUAAUCAAUAUAAUAUUUAUUUUCUCCCUUUAGUUAUCCAAGUGUAAACUCACCCAAACAUAAUCAGAAAACAAUAAUUGUUUCUCUAUUCUCACAAAAUGGUUUAUUUCAAUAUCUCAUAUCUACAAUAAUAGGUGUGGCUGAAGAUAAAGGAAUGCAAACAAUGUCCAGCACAACAUCAGUCAAAAAUUAUGCAUUUAAUGAAUGUUGUCAAGAAGAGAUUCAACCACGAGAAGAAUAUGCUGAGAAGCAUAUCAAAGAAGUGAAGAUGCCACACUAUGAAUUUAAUACGCAAAAACAUAUUCCUGAGGUGUGAGCAAACUACAACAAACAAAAGCAGAAAAAUAAAACCUUUCAUUUUCACACUUGUACAACUAUUUGAUCAUUCACACACAAAGGACAUUAUUUCUCAUCAUGAAAUAGAACAUCUACAACCUCUGACACAGUAUUUGCUGAAACAGGCAUAUAGGGUAGAGGAAGAUACAAGUCAGAUCAGGGUGGUAAAUGAACAGAAAUUAGAGUCCCAGCUGGCAUCACUAAACAAGGAGGCCACAUUCAUAGAUAAUCGGUAUUCAGAUGGAGAGAUAGAAAACGCAAACCCCAUUGGUGAUAUAGAGAAAGAAGUGAAUCCAAAAUCACUCACCAAGCAGAAAUUAGUGAUCCACGAUGAUGGUAAAUUCGAUGAAGAGGAAGCAAAAGGAAUUGAAGAAAUGACAAAAAUAAAAUUACUAAAUUCAGCAACAGACUGUAUGUGCUCAAAACUCACAAAUUUCAUUACUUUUAGUCAGACUCAUUUUGCCUUGGGACCCUAAACCCUAAACAACAGAAAGUUGAAAUUUUAUGUUUAUGAGAUUCAAUGCUUAUCAAAAUCAAUAAAAAGUAAUAUUUUAGCAGUUGAAAAAUCUCAGAUAAACAAUGACAGGUUCACCAGAAGAAGUCCAGCCAAAAUUGUCUGACCCUGCAACUGUCCAAGGUGACACUGAUCAAAUCUUACAGCAACAAACACUUCCCAGUGAUGCAUUAGACACAAUUGAUAACAACUUGAGCAGCAUUCCAGAAAAUGAACUUGACAGAAUGUCCACUAGUGUUGAGGUUGGCAGCAUGUGCAUUUGCUGAGAAAAAAAAUACUCAUUUAUUUCCUUUUCUUAUUAUUAAAACUUAUAUUGUAUUUAUUUAAAUAGGAACCUGAAACCAAGGCAAACAUCAACAUAGUAGAAGAGCAAUCAGACAAGCAAUCACAUGAACCUAGCAUGCAAAGUCUGAUUACAGAUUAUAUAACAGCGGAAGGCCAUUUAGCAUCUGAAAACAGUUCAAAAUUAAGUUAUGAUAUGAAUGAACAGAAGACAGUAAACUUGCAGAUGGUAGAGAAUUUAGGGAUCAAGUAUGCAAGUAAAACGACCACAGAGGAAGUAACAGAUGCCAAACAACCAACUGGCGUGGAGUUAGAGAAAACAAAAAAUGAAGGUAAUAAUGUUCUGAAAAUUUACCAUACAAGUUGCCUUGAUAACCAAAAACAAGAACCUGAAAACAAAAACAAGCACAUGACUUCAGAUGAAGGAAAUAUUCUUUUAAUCCACUUACAAAAAUAGUUUCCUUAGAUGGCAAAAAAAUUAUUCACAUUUGUGUGUAGAUGGUAAAAUAUAAGUAGUAGUUUUGUGUCCCCAUGAAGAGUUUGCUGUAGCUCUAGGACUUUUUAAUUUUGAAGAGAACAUGAACAUUGUUGUACUGAAAUAGAAACAUAUGUAGCCUUGCGUAAAUCAUUUCUUUUAAUAUCUCAUUUGUGCUUGAAUAGUGUGUUUGAUUUUAAAGAGAAAACAUUAAACAAUGCAGAAUUGAUCGAAAAUAAAACACUUGAUGGGAGUAAUCAAGAAGAGAUGCAACCAGAAGAAGAUUUUUCAGAGACAUAUACCAAAGGCAAGAAGACACCACAAUCUAGCAUGGAGAAUGUAAAUUCAGAAGGAAUGGAAAUAACUGAAAACAGUACAAAGUCAAGUUAUGCUGAGGAAGAACCGGAACAGGUUAUAAACACAUACACCAUAGAAAAUUCAGAAAUCAAGGAUAGCAGAAGAAUCAAGCUAGAAGAAGCAUCUGAUAUAAAAGAAGCCACAGGUAUUGAAUUACAUAAGCUUAAAACAGAAAGUAGUUAUGUUUUGAUAACUUUCUAUUUUACUUUUACCCAAGGUGAUGUCAUUCAAAAAACAAAUACUAAAAUUAUGUUUCUUGAAAAAAAAAAUUCUAAAUGACAUUUUGAAUCAUUUAAAAGUUUUGAAGAAAACGUAUAAUGUACUAAAAAUGAACUAUAUAAGUCAAUCUCAGGUAGUAGAUUGUGUUUAACAUCUUACUUGUACAAUGACAGAUGAAUCUGGCGAUAAAGCCAUCUCAUUUUUAUCUACCAUACCAUCUGUAAGAAUUGGGAUAGUUGAUGAAAGCAUUCAAGAAAAAAUAGAAAAGGAUGUUCAACCCGCUGUGAUCAAUUCCAAAGAAGAGCAGAGAACAGAAAAUGAUUUUGUGAGGAACAUGGAAGUUCUCGAGGUUUGACUUCACUUCAAUAAAUUAAACUAGAUACUGAUAUAUACCACAUUGCAUGUCAGACUUGCACAUCUUAAUUUAGUGUUUGUCUAGAAAACCAAAUCUUCAUUUUCCCAACGUACAAAUAUCUGAGUUCUGAUGAAAUUUUAUGUUAAAUUAGGCAUUUGAAUUAAAAAAGGGGCCAGCCAACACCUCUGUGGAAAAUGACGAGAAAGUCGAAGUCCAAUCUGAAGCAAAUAACCAGAAGACCAUUAAAAAACAUCCAAAUUUAGAAGAACUGGAGACUGCAGAAAUAAGUCCAAGUAGUGAUACUAAAGAACUUGGAAAGGAACGUGAAGUUGCCAAACUUGGAGGUGUCUCUGAAUCUGUAUCCGUAGCUAUCACAGAACAUAUAGACACGGGGAAACUGGAAACUCAAGAGGCCAAAACUGGUAUAUCAGGCAACACAAAAGAAGAUAAAGCAGGAGAAGAAUUCGAAAACAUAAGCCCAUCAUCUAGUGUUGGUGUCCUAUCCAGAGACUCUGAAGACACUGGCACCAAAGUUUUGCACAAAAAAUCUCACGGCAUCCUGUCAGGUGUAGGAUCAAAGGUGAAGCACUCAAUUUCCAAAGUGAAGAAAGUCAUUACGGGCAAGUCUUCACGCCCCAAGACACCACCAUCAUAAAAAUCAAAAAAUAAGUGCUCAUUAGACAACUACAUGCUGCUGUUGAAAAUAGAAUAUGCACAUGUUUGGGAAUUUUAGAGGGCUUAUUUCUUAUGUUUGAGGAAUUGUAUUGAUUUGUUUCAUUGAUGUAUUGUUUGGUUUGUCAUUAGUUUUGAAAUUUGAUCUUAUGGAGGAUCUACUAUCCUUCUAAUCUGUGUAAUGUAUUCUUAUUCUCUUUGUAUGGAUUUAGUAUUUAUUUCAAAACACAGGCACAAAUAGCUGAAAAUUGAGAACAUAAGGAAAGGGUUAAGUAGUUCGUGUAAACAACAUUUUGAAGAGAAGAAAAAUGAGAAAGCAAGUACCAAAGGGACACCUGAUAAGAAUUAUUAGACACUACAAAUGCAUCGAAAGAACAGAGCAAAAUGACGAAAUUCCAGUUCUUAACUUUGUUUUCACGAGAACCAAACGGAAAAGAGAGAAAAUUUUGCCAUAGAAGUAAUAAAGAACAUACCUGGCUCAAACACCACCACCUGUACCUUUCAACGAAUCAAUGGUGGGUCAGGAAAUAAUAGAGAGCUGUGUUGGUGCGCGUGUUUUUCAGGGUUAAUACACUAUUUAAAUCGAAUCGUUUCAUAUAAUUGUUCUACGUUGUGUUGGGUAGAGAGAAAAUAAAUAAAUAAAUAAAAUAUUAGUCAAAAUAGAAAAAACAGAACAGAAGUUAAAAUGUGUUCGGUGGAAAACAAAAU
rnacentral:lncRNA from 1 species